rnacentral:misc_RNA from 1 species
AAGGGCCAGUUUGUUGGAGUUCUUAGUGCAUUGGACUUCAUCUUGAUUCUGAGGGAGCUUGGAAAUAAUGGAUCUAAUUUGACGGAGGAAGAAUUAGAGACACAUACUAUAUCAGCUUGGAAGGAAGGAAAAUUAUAUCUUAACAGACAAAUUAAUGGCAAUGGGAGAGCACAUCCUUGGCAUCUCAUCCAUGCUGGGCCACAUGAUUCUUUGAAAGAUGUUGCAUUGAAAAUUUUGCAAAACAAAAUAUCGACGAUUCCCAUUAUUCAUACUUCUUCACCGGAUGGUUCAUUUCCCCAGCUACUACAUCUUGCUUCUCUGUCAGGAAUAUUAAAAUGUAUAUGCAGGCACUUUAGGCACUCUGCUAGCUCGUUGCCUGUUCUUCAACAACCUAUUUGUACAAUUCCUCUAGGUACAUGGGUUCCAAAAAUUGGGGAAUCAAAUAUACGGCCAUUUGCUAUGUUGCGACCAAAUGCUUCUCUUGGUGAUGCCCUAUCUCUUUUAGUUCAGGCUGAAGUCAGUUCAAUACCAAUUGUGGAUGACAAUGAUUCACUCUUGGACAUAUACUCAAGAAGUGAUAUCACUGCUUUGGCAAAAGACAAAGCCUAUGCGCAGAUUCAUCUUGAUGAAAUCAGUAUUCAUGAGGCAUUGCAGUUGGGACAAGAUGCAAAUACACCAUAUGGAUUCUACAAUGGACAGAGAUGUCAGAUGUGUUUGGGAUCCGAUCCUCUACACAAAGUGAUGGAGCGAUUGGCAAACCCUGGUGUUAGGAGACUUUUGAUUGUGGAGGCUGGUAGCAAGCG